GGUUCCAUAGUGUAGUGGUUAGCACAUCUGCUUUACACGCAGAAGGUCCUGGGUUUGAGCCUCAGUGGACCCA
rnacentral:tRNA from 1 species